AGACCCGAAACCCGGUGAUCUAGCCAUGGGCAGGUUGAAGGUUGGGUAACACUAACUGGAGGACCGAACCGACUAAUGUUGAAAAAUUAGCGGAUGACCUGUGGCUGGGGGUGAAAGGCCAAUCAAACCGGGAGAUAGCUGGUUCUCCCCGAAAGCUAUUUAGGUAGCGCCUCGUGAAUUCAUCUCCGGGGGUAGAGCACUGUUUCGGCUAGGGGGCCAUCCCGGCUUACCAACCCGAUGCAAACUGCGAAUACCGGAGAAUGUUAUCACGGGAGACACACGGCGGGUGCUAACGUCCGUCGUGAAGAGGGAAACAACCCAGACCGCCAGCUAAGGUCCCAAAGUCAUGGUUAAGUGGGAAACGAUGUGGGAAGGCCCAGACAGCCAGGAUGUUGGCUUAGAAGCAGCCAUCAUUUAAAGAAAGCGUAAUAGCUCACUGGUCGAGUCGGCCUGCGCGGAAGAUGUAACGGGGCUAAACCAUGCACCGAAGCUGCGGCAGCGAACGUAUCACUUAAAGCGAUUCAGCGGGUUACGAUUGACGGAGCGAAGCGACGUCAAAGCGUAUACAAAGUCGAGUCGGUUUAAGGAUACGUUCGUUGGGUAGGGGAGCGUUCUGUAAGCCUGUGAAGGUGGCCUGUGAGGGUUGCUGGAGGUAUCAGAAGUGCGAAUGCUGACAU
rnacentral:rRNA from 1 species